rnacentral:rRNA from 1 species
GACUGACGCUGAGGCACGAAAGCGUGGGUAUCAAACAGGAUUAGAUACCCUGGUAGUCCACGCAGUAAACGAUGAAUACUGUCUGUUAACGAUAUAGUGUUAGUGGAUAAGCGAAAGUGUUAAGUAUUCCACCUGGGGAGUACGCCGGCAACGGUGAAACUCAAAGGAAUUGACGGGGGCCCGCACAAGCGGAGGAACAUGUGGUUUAAUUCGAUGAUACGCGAGGAACCUUACCCGGGCUUGAAAGUUAGUGAAGGAUGAUGAAAGUUGUCCGGCUCGCAAGAGACACGAAACUAGGUGCUGCAUGGUUGUCGUCAGCUCGUGCCGUGAGGUGUCGGCUUAAGUGCCAUAACGAGCGCAACCCCUGCUGUCAGUUGCCAUCAGGUAAUGCUGGGUACUCUGUCGGGACUGCUACUGUAAGGUAGAGGAGGGUGGGGAUGACGUCAAAUCAGCACGGCCCUUACGUCCGGGGCGACACACGUGUUACAAUGGGUGGUACAGAGGGUAGCUACUGGGCGACCAGAUGCCAAUCUCCUAAAACCAUCCUCAGUUCGGAUCGGAGUCUGCAACUCGACUCCGUGAAGCUGGAUUCGCUAGUAAU